UACGGAGGAUGCGAGCGUUAUCCGGAUUUAUUGGGUUUAAAGGGUGCGCAGGCGGCACGGCAAGCCGGCGGUCAAAUCGCGGGGCUCAACCCCGCCCAGCCGUCGGAGCUGCCGGGCUAGAGUGGGCGAGAAGUGCGCGGAAUGCGUGGUGUAGCGGUGAAAUGCAUAGAUAUCACGCAGAACUCCGAUUGCGAAGGCAGCGCACCGGCGCCCUACUGACGCUCAGGCACGAAAGCGUGGGUAUCGAACAGG
rnacentral:rRNA from 1 species